rnacentral:rRNA from 1 species
GACGUAGGGCGCGAGCGUUGUCCGGAAUUAUUGGGCGUAAAGAGCUCGUAGGCGGUCUGUCGCGUCGAUCGUGAAAACUUGGGGCUUAACCCUGAGCUUGCGGUCGAUACGGGCAUGACUGGAGUUCGGCAGGGGAGACUGGAAUUCCUGGUGUAGCGGUGAAAUGCGCAGAUAUCAAGGAGGAACACCGGUGGCGAAGGCGGGUCUCUGGGCCGAUACUGACGCUGAGGAGCGAAAGCGUGGGGAGCGAACAGG